CCACGCACACACGCGCGGCAUAUCAAUAAGCGGAGGAAAAGAAACUAACAAGGAUUCCCUUAGUAACGGCGAGUGAAGCGGGAAGAGCUCAAAUUUGAAAUCUUCAAGGUUCUACCUUGACGAAUUGUAGUUUAUAAGAAGUGUUUUCUGUUAGUAGGAGUGGCAAAAGUUCUUUGGAAUAGGACAUCAUAGAGGGUGAGAAUCCCGUAUUUGUACCAUUCUUUCUAGCUGUGUGAUACACUUUCAACGAGUCGGAUUGUUUGGGAAUGCAGUCCAAAAUGGGUGGUAAAUUUCAUCUAAAGCUAAAUAUUGGCGAGAGACCGAUAGCGAACAAGUACCGUGAGGGAAAGAUGAAAAGAACUUUGAAAAGAGAGUUAAACAGUACGUGAAAUUGUCAAAAGGGAAGCGUUUGACACCAGUGUUGUUUUUCCGAAAAUCAAUUACGAAUGUUUUGUUUUUGAGAAGUUAUGACUUCAUCGGCUUGCUUCUCUCUUUACGAAACUUUCUUAAUGCACUUUUCGGUUAACAAGUCAACAUCAAUUUCUUUUGUUGUAAAAGGGUAUGAGGAAGGUGGCUUUCUUUUCGGAGAAAGUGUUUAUAGCCUUGUACCUCUGCAAUCGGAGAGAUUGAGGUCUGCAGCGUAGAUCCUUCGGGGUUAGAUACGUUUGUGCUAAGUUAUAGCUUUUCAUAGACAACUUGUUGACUAUGUUUAGUCUUGUAGCUUACUCGCUGACGCUAUUUUACCUACGCUUAGGAUGUUGAUAGUCACAGCGUGUAC
rnacentral:rRNA from 1 species